GAUGAUCUAGCUCAGUCUGGUAGAGCACCGGCGAAAGCCGGUUGUCGUGGGUUCGACUCCCACGAUCAUCC
rnacentral:tRNA from 1 species